rfam:Gossypium hirsutum cultivar TM-1 unplaced genomic scaffold scaffold3393.1, whole genome shotgun sequence
UGUUAAAAAUUAUCUAUUUGUACAGUUAAAAAUUAGCGUACAUGACGAAAUAAUCAAACAACAACACGUGGUGUGUUACAUGAACAUUAUACUAAUGUACAAAGACAGAUUUUUAACAGUAAAAAUAGAUGAUAUUUUUAAUA